rnacentral:rRNA from 1 species
UAAGGAAUAUUGGUCAAUGGACGCAAGUCUGAACCAGCCAUGCCGCGUGGAGGAUGAAGGCCCUCUGGGUUGUAAACUUCUUUUAUGGGGGACGAAACCCUGGUAUUCUUACCAGAUUGACGGUACCCUAGGAAUAAGCACCGGCUAACUCCGUGCCAGCAGCCGCGGUAAUACGGAGGGUGCAAGCGUUAUCCGGAUUCACUGGGUUUAAAGGGUGCGUAGGAGGGCAGGUAAGUCAGUGGUGAAAUCUCCAAGCUUAACUUGGAAACUGCCGUUGAUACUAUCUGUCUUGAAUAUUGUGGAGGUGAGCGGAAUAUGUCAUGUAGCGGUGAAAUGCUUAGAUAUGACAUAGAACACCAAUUGCGAAGGCAGCUCACUACUCAAUCAUUGACUCUGAGGCACGAAAGCGUGGGGAUCAAACAG